rnacentral:hammerhead_ribozyme from 1 species
AUCCAGCUGACGAGUCCUAAAUAGGACGAAACGAGCAUUCUAAAU